AUGCGAGCUGACAACAGCUGCGCGCCCGCCUAGCGCUGCGAACCCGGAGUGAGAGGCGCUUCAGAGACCGGAGGGACGGACCUGCAGGAGCCAGGGCUGCCCGCCGAGCUGCAGUUGCCGCUACUGCCGCUGUCAGCGCCCGACUGAAGAGUGACAGUCGCAAAAGCAGGAGUGAGCACCGAACCCCGCGCUUCUACCUAACAGGUGCAUGCGCCGAUCUGGUGAGUGGACCCAGCUCGCAAGCUUAUCCAACAAAGGUAUUAACAUAUACAUUAACAACGUCGAAAGUAGCCUACUUUAAGAGAAAAUAUGCAGAAGAAGAAGAUUUACAUCAAGAUUACCAUGGGUAUUUUCCAAAACACCUGAUAUUACCUGAGGACAGAACUUGCAUUCUCAAACUUUCUCUGGAGAAGCUCAGGUUUCUUGAAGACCCAGAAACCUACUUAAGAAGGUCUGUGUUAAUUAACAAUUUGCUGAGGAAGAUACAUCUAGAGACGGAGAAAGAGAGCUAUGAAUACUUUAAAGAAGCUCCCUGUUAUAAGACUGCAUAUUCUGAUACAAGAAAACGGCUGAAGUUUAUGGUACAGGAAUGCUGUUCUCAGUCUCUCUAUUAUGAAGAGCUGCAUUCGUAUCAUAUUGUGCCUUAUGCUUCGGAGAAUGCCAUUUAUGAAAUGGGCUACACUAGCAGCCACUUGGAGCAAAAUUCUCAGUUGCUUAUUUAUAAAAUGAAUUAA
rnacentral:sRNA from 1 species